AACAAGGCGUACCUGCGGACCUGCGGAGGGAUCAUCAUCGAAUUCACUUCCGGAGGGGGACCCAUGAUAAACCCUUCUGUGCAUCGUAAACCGUUCACUUUGGCUGGUUUUGGUGCUGAGCGUGAGCUCGUCUCCAACCUCGCGUUCUCUCCCCCUAAGGAGGGUGGUGUUACGCGUGGCGGCCUGCCGAAGUCCUCCCAUUAAAAACACGUUUUCGAACACGUCUGAAAUUUCCUUUGA
rnacentral:misc_RNA from 1 species